AGCUUCAACAAUGUAGGAAUGAGAAACAGCUACCCUGGCUAUUUUUCCCAAAUUAAAAUGAUAAUAACAGCAAUAAUAAUAAUAAUGUGUCUGUAACAAAUUUGAAGCAGACUAAUUAGUUAGUGCAAUGUUUCCAUAGAACGAGAAUUGUAAAAUUUACUUUGUUGGUCUCAUCAUUCUGGUUAUUAAAAGUUAUUGGGUUCCAUGUAAAAGUACAUUGCUACUCAUCAGUAAAGGCCUUUAACACCUCGUAUAUAAUACAUUUGACUAUAAAGUGUGAUUUUAGUGUUUGUUCAUGAACAAACUUUGUUAAAUCUUUGCUGUAUAAAUUUUCCCUGGCUUUAGUUUUUAGGGCUAAAGAUAUUAACCCAUUUUUGGAUGCAUGAUUUUUUUUUCAUCUACACUCUUUGGAGGACAGAAAAUAAGCAGAUUUCCCAAAAUGUUGAAAUAUUCUUUUAAAAUGUGGUACCACCCUCUAACAACACCAUCUGCAGUUCUGUUCACUUUAUAAAGCAAAUAAGUAUUAACUUAUAAUGCUUAUUUCAUGAUAGCUUAAUAGUUUUUUAGUUUGUUGUUGUUAUUUUUGUGUAUUUAGGAGAAAAUAUUUCACUCAACACAAACACAGAAUUUCCACAAUCCAGAAACAACUA